rnacentral:rRNA from 1 species
AAUCCGGGUUGCGGACAGUGUCUGGUGGGUAGUUUGACUGGGGCGGUCUCCUCCUAAAGAGUAACGGAGGAGCACGAAGGUUGGCUAAUCCUGGUCGGACAUCAGGAGGUUAGUGCAAUGGCAUAAGCCAGCUUGACUGCGAGCGUGACGGCGCGAGCAGGUGCGAAAGCAGGUCAUAGUGAUCCGGUGGUUCUGAAUGGAAGGGCCAUCGCUCAACGGAUAAAAGGUACUCCGGGGAUAACAGGCUGAUACCGCCCAAGAGUUCAUAUCGACGGCGGUGUUUGGCACCUCGAUGUCGGCUCAUCACAUCCUGGGGCUGAAGUAGGUCCCAAGGGUAUGGCUGUUCGCCAUUUAAAGUGGUACGCGAGCUGGGUUUAGAACGUCGUGAGACAGUUCGGUCCCUAUCUGCCGUGGGCGAUGGAGAACUGAGGGGGGCUGCUCCUAGUACGAGAGGACCGGAGUGGACGCAUCACUGGUGUUCGGGUUGUCAUGCCAAUGGCACUGCCCGGUAGCUAAAUGCGGAAGAGAUAAGUGCUGAAAGCAUCUAAGCACGAAACUUGCCCCGAGAUGAGUUCUCCCUGAGACUUAGAGUCUCCUGAAGGAACGUUGAAGACGACGACGUUGAUAGGCCGGGUGUGUAAGCGCAGCGAUGCGUUGAGCUAACCGGUACUAAUGAACCGUGAGGCUUAACCUUACAACGCCGAAG